rnacentral:rRNA from 1 species
CGAGGCCAAGAGUCUCUACUGCGUCCCCCGAAGGUUAGACUAGCUGCUUCUCUUGAGAGCGGCGGACGGGUGAGUAAUGCCUAGGAAUCUGCCUGGUAGUGGGGGAUAACGUUCGGAAACGGACGCUAAUACCGCAUACGUCCUACGGGAGAAAGCAGGGGACCUUCGGGCCUUGCGCUAUCAGAUGAGCCUAGGUCGGAUUAGCUAGUUGGUGAGGUAAUGGCUCACCAAGGCGACGAUCCGUAACUGGUCUGAGAGGAUGAUCAGUCACACUGGAACUGAGACACGGUCCAGACUCCUACGGGAGGCAGCAGUGGGGAAUAUUGGACAAUGGGCGAAAGCCUGAUCCAGCCAUGCCGCGUGUGUGAAGAAGGUCUUCGGAUUGUAAAGCACUUUAAGUUGGGAGGAAGGGCAGUUACCUAAUACGUGAUUGUUUUGACGUUACCGACAGAAUAAGCACCGGCUAACUCUGUGCCAGCAGCCGCGGUAAUACAGAGGGUGCAAGCGUUAAUCGGAAUUACUGGGCGUAAAGCGCGCGUAGGUGGUUAGUUAAGUUGGAUGUGAAAUCCCCGGGCUCAACCUGGGAACUGCAUUCAAAACUGACUGACUAGAGUAUGGUAGAGGGUGGUGGAAUUUCCUGUGUAGCGGUGAAAUGCGUAGAUAUAGGAAGGAACACCAGUGGCGAAGGCGACCACCUGGACUGAUACUGACACUGAGGUGCGAAAGCGUGGGGAGCAAACAGGAUUAGAUACCCUGGUAGUCCACGCCGUAAACGAUGUCAACUAGCCGUUGGGAGCCUUGAGCUCUUAGUGGCGCAGCUAACGCAUUAAGUUGACCGCCUGGGGAGUACGGCCGCAAGGUUAAAACUCAAAUGAAUUGACGGGGGCCCGCACAAGCGGUGGAGCAUGUGGUUUAAUUUCGAAGCAACGCGAAGAACCUUACCAGGCCUUGACAUCCAAUGACUUUCUAGAGAUAGAUUGGUGCCUUCGGACAUUGAGACAGUGCUGCAUGCUGUCGUCAGCUCGUGUCGUGAGAUGUGGGUAGUCCGUUACGAGCGCAUCCUGUCUAGUACCAGCACGUAUGGUGGCACCUCUAAGGGAACUGCGUGACAAUCGGACAAGCUGGUCAUGACGUUCAAGUCAUCAUGCCGUUACG